GAUGAAGAACGCAGCGAAAUGCGAUAAGUAAUGCGAAUUGCAGAAUUUCCGUGAAUCAUCGAAUCUUUGAACGCACAUUGCGCCCCUUGGUAUUCCGAGGGGCAUGCCUGUUCGAGCGUCAUUUUGACCACUCCCGCUUGCGGGGUCUUGGGCCUUCGCCUCUGGGCGGGCCUUAAAAUCAGUGGCGGUGCCGUCCGGCUCUAAGCGUAGUAAAUCUCCUCGCUAUAGGGUUCCGGAGGGAUGCUGGCCAACAACCCCCAACUUUUAAGGUUGACCUCGGAUCAGGUAGGGAUACCCGCUGAACUUAAGCAUAUCAAUAAGCGGAGGA
rnacentral:misc_RNA from 1 species